AGAGGUGGGUCUAUUCUAUACAA
rnacentral:misc_RNA from 1 species